AUUGAACGCUGGCGGCAUGCCUUACACAUGCAAGUCGAACGGUAACAGGUCUUCGGAUGCUGACGAGUGGCGAACGGGUGAGUAAUACAUCGGAACGUGCCUAGUAGUGGGGGAUAACUACUCGAAAGAGUGGCUAAUACCGCAUGCGAUCUACGGAUGAAAGCAGGGGAUCGCAAGACCUUGUGCUACUAGAGCGGCCGAUGGCAGAUUAGGUAGUGGGUGGGAUAAAAGCUUACCAAGCCGACGAUCUGUAGCUGGUCUGAGAGGACGAUCAGCCACACUGGGACUGAGACACGGCCCAGACUCCUACGGGAGGCAGCAGUGGGGAAUUUUGGACAAUGGGCGAAAGCCUGAUCCAGCAAUGCCGCGUGCAGGAUGAAGGCCUUCGGGUUGUAAACUGCUUUUGUACGGAACGAAAAGCCCCGGGUUAAUACCCUGGGGUCAUGACGGUACCGUAAGAAUAAGCACCGGCUUACUACGUGCCAGCAGCCGCCGUAA
rnacentral:rRNA from 1 species